UAGCAAUAGGUUGAUGGCGACCGGCGCACGGGUGAGUAACACGUAUCCAACCUACCGGUUAUUCCGGGAUAGCCUUUCGAAAGAAAGAUUAAUACCGGAUAGUAUAACGAGAAGGCAUCUUCUUGUUAUUAAAGAAUUUCGAUAACCGAUGGGGAUGCGUUCCAUUAGUUUGUUGGCGGGGUAACGGCCCACCAAGACAUCGAUGGAUAGGGGUUCUGAGAGGAAGGUCCCCCACAUUGGAACUGAGACACGGUCCAAACUCCUACGGGAGGCAGCAGUGAGGAAUAUUGGUCAAUGGACGAGAGUCUGAACCAGCCAAGUAGCGUGAAGGAUGACUGCCCUAUGGGUUGUAAACUUCUUUUAUAUGGGAAUAAAGUGAGCCACGUGUGGCUUUUUGUAUGUACCAUACGAAUAAGGAUCGGCUAACUCCGUGCCAGCAGCCGCGGUAAUACGGAGGAUCCGAGCGUUAUCCGGAUUUAUUGGGUUUAAAGGGAGCGUAGGCGGACUAUUAAGUCAGCUGUGAAAGUUUGCGGCUCAACCGUAAAAUUGCAGUUGAUACUGGUCGUCUUGAGUGCAGUAGAGGUAGGCGGAAUUCGUGGUGUAGCGGUGAAAUGCUUAGAUAUCACGAAGAACUCCGAUUGCGAAGGCAGCUUACUGGACUGUAACUGACGCUGAUGCUCGAAAGUGUGGGUAUCAAACAGGAUUAGAUACCCUGGUAGUCCACACAGUAAACGAUGAAUACUCGCUGUUUGCGAUAUACAGCAAGCGGCCAAGC
rnacentral:rRNA from 1 species